CCGGGCCCGCCGUUGAGAGGAUGUCCGUUAUCCUUUCGUGACCCGCGGAAACCUGCGACUUAGCCGUUGGGUGCCUGCUUCCCCGUAGAUCUUAGAACUGGCUGAAGGGUCCCGGCCGCCGGGCCGGUAGCUUGGCUUGUUGUGGCUUCAGAGCAUUUCCUUCUCAGCUUCCCUUUCUUCGCUCUCCAGCCAGUCGUCGUUUCCCCUCGACCACCGUCUUCACCUCUUUCUCACCCGUGUAGACGCUUCUCACGCUCGCCAGGCUUUGCAUUUAUCUCCUUGUUGAAAAUGCCGCAAAUUUUCCCGCCCAGUUUUCCUUUAUACCUGAAGCAGAGGUCCCCCCUCCUGGUUUUUUUUUCUUUUCCUGGCGCGAAUUCUAGGCAAGUUAAACCUUCCUAAAUAGCUAUCUAUGUUGCAGCGAUGUGGUCCUGUCCUUGUUCGUUGUUUUGGUCGACCUGACUUUGGGUUUGAAGCAAUAGAAAUAAAAACUAGUUUUUAAGAAAGAAACUCACGAGAAACAGAGUGUCUUUUUUGUACUCCUUUUGCGGUGUGAAUUUCUCAAAUGUACAUUCACUUUUACCUUGUCUUUCGGAGCGGUAUUCUCGCAGUUGAACACCAUGGUUAUUCUGAACUGUAAUACAUCAACCUUAGAUCCAACUUGUUAAAACAAGCAGGUGUCUUUUUAAAGAACCUUUAGAGGAAAGUUAGUGUAUUCUGAUUAAAAAGUGAUUUUGUCAGUCUCAUUUAGUCCCCAGUUAUUUUGAAAUGGCAUGGACUUGAAAAUGUUAGUGUGGGGAGUGAAAAAUUAGAUCAUUCUGUUUUUGCAUCUGAGUUUUAAAUCCUGAGUAAUUCCCUUUGGAGUGUUGCACCCACACAGUUUGAGAAAGUCAUGUCUGUUGAAAUAACUCAUUUCUGGCUUCAUAGCAUAUAAAUUCCGCAUAAAUGGUUCAUAAGUGAAAAACCAGUUGUGGGAGAAUUUGUAUGUGGCUUAAUUAAUUUCACUUUCCCCGCUCUCUAGUAAUUGAUGGAAGGGUGUCUUUGCAAGUAGUUGAUAGUUCCCCAUAGAUACCAGAAAUGGGGGAAGUACCCAGUUAGGUCACUUAGCUUCUGAGUCAUGGGUCUGCAGAGUUCACAGUCAAGUGGAGGAGGCUGGAAGGGUUUAACUGUCAGGAAUGGUGGUAGGUAGGAGACAACACCGAGAGGGCCCAGCUGUUCCCCUGCUGCAUGAAUAACUUUUAAAAAUUGCCCUAGAGUAUUAGUUUUCCUUGAUGGGAGAGACUCUUGUUUUCUGCUCUUUAACUUAUGAGUGGGCGUGCGGAGACGUGGCGCUGUGUUUGCUCUCGCCUGCUUCCAUUGGCUGCUGAAGGUGAAAAACCCAUUUAAAAGGACACGUUAAAGUGCAGUUCCAGAGCCACAGGCCUCUAAAGCCACGUUUGCCUGCCUUUAUUCUUCGGCUCGUGAGGACAAGACACCGUGGCUGGGUCCGUCGACAGCUUAAUGCCUUGUGCGUGGAAUGGUGGUUUGCUUUUUGGUUCAUCGAAAGACGAAGGCACCGUGACAGAGGACUUGGGUGUGAAAAUGCUUGACUAUUUUCGUGUCUUAAGAACUCCAAUGAAACUUCCUGUCCACCGUGAAAAUGAGUGUCAGCAGCUACAUAAGAAGGCAGAAGACUGGAACACUCACGAGAGGCGUGUGAAGUGAGUCCGAGCUCACCAGUGGCCAAGGAGGUGUGGCAACAGACAGCCUGCCGGGAGUGUGUGUCCCUUGGCGGGACGGCACCAGACAAAAAGUGCGAGUGUGACACCCAGCCCUGUGGAUGUCACCGCCCCUCCCUCGGCCUCAUGGCUCCCUUCCCGCAACCUCCAUUAGGUCUCCAACUGGGCCGCAAAACCACGGGGGUUAGGGACACGUGCGGAGAGGGUAGAGGGUGGGAGAACAAAGGAUAUGACUCG
ensembl:lncRNA